GAAGCGUCAACCCGGCACCAGCACCCGCUGGACAAGACCGGGACUGCCUCGCCGCAAGGCGAGGCUGCC
rfam:Gordonia rhizosphera NBRC 16068 DNA, contig: GORHZ200.